CAUAAAGUGCGUCGUAGUCCGGAUUGGAGUCUGCAACUCGACUCCAUGAAGUCGGAAUCGCUAGUAAUCGUGGAUCAGAAUGCCACGGUGAAUACGUUCCCGGGCCUUGUACACACCGCCCGUCACACCAUGGGAGUGGGUUGCAAAAGAAGUAGGUAGCUUAACCUUCGGGAGGGCGCUUACCACUUUGUGAUUCAUGACUGGGGUGAAGUCGUAACAAGGUAACCGUAGGGGAACCUGC
rnacentral:rRNA from 4 species